UGCUGGAGGUAUCAGAAGUGCGAAUGCUGACAUAAGUAACGAUAAAGCGGGUGAAAAGCCCGCUCGCCGGAAGACCAAGGGUUCCUGUCCAACGUUAAUCGGGGCAGGGUGAGUCGACCCCUAAGGCGAGGCCGAAAGGCGUAGUCGAUGGGAAACGGGUUAAUAUUCCCGUACUUGGUGUUACUGCGAAGGGGGGACGGAGAAGGCUAUGUUGGCCGGGCGACGGUUGUCCCGGUUUAAGCGUGUAGGYKKGUKUUCCAGGYAAAUCCGGAAAAUCAAGGCUGAGGCGUGAYGACGAGGCACUACGGUGCUGAAGCAACAAAUGCCCUGCUUCCAGGAAAAGCCUCUAAGCAUCAGGUAACAUCAAAUCGUACCCCAAACCGACACAGGUGGUCAGGUAGAGAAUACCAAGGCGCUUGAGAGAACUCGGGUGAAGGAACUAGGCAAAAUGGUGCCGUAACUUCGGGAGAAGGCACGCUGACACGUAGGUGAAGUGAUUUACUCAYGGAGCUGAAGUCAGUCGAAGAUACCAGCUGGCUGCAACUGUUUAUUAAAAACACAGCACUGUGCAAACACGAAAGUGGACGUAUACGGUGUGACGCCUGCCCGGUGCCGGAAGGUUAAUUGAUGGGGUCAGCGCAAGCGAAGCUCCUGAUCGAAGCCCCGGUAAACGGCGGCCGUAACUAUAACGGUCCUAAGGUAGCGAAAUUCCUUGUCGGGUAAGUUCCGACCUGCACGAAUGGCGUAAUGAUGGCCAGGCUGUCUCCACCCGAGACUCAGUGAAAUUGAACUCGCUGUGAAGAUGCAGUGUACCCGCGGCAAGACGGAAAGACCCCGUGAACCUUUACUAUAGCUUGACACUGAACAUUGAGCCUUGAUGUGUAGGAUAGGUGGGAGGCUUUGAAGUGUGGACGCCAGUCUGCAUGGAGCCGACCUUGAAAUACCACCCUUUAAUGUUUGAUGUUCUAACGUGGACCCGUWAYCCGGGUUGCGGACAGUGUCUGGUGGGUAGUUUGACUGGGGCGGUCUCCUCCUAAAGAGUAACGGAGGAGCACGAAGGUUGGCUAAUCCUGGUCGGACAUCAGGAGGUUAGUGCAAUGGCAUAAGCCAGCUUGACUGCGAGCGUGACGGCGCGAGCAGGUGCGAAAGCAGGUCAUAGUGAUCCGGUGGUUCUGAAUGGAAGGGCCAUCGCUCAACGGAUAAAAGGUACUCCGGGGAUAACAGGCUGAUACCGCCCAAGAGUUCAUAUCGACGGCGGUGUUUGGCACCUCGAUGUCGGCUCAUCACAUCCUGGGGCUGAAGUAGGUCCCAAGGGUAUGGCUGUUCGCCAUUUAAAGUGGUACGCGAGCUGGGUUUAGAACGUCGUGAGACAGUUCGGUCCCUAUCUGCCGUGGGCGCUGGAGAACUGAGGGGGGCUGCUCCUAGUACGAGAGGACCGGAGUGGACGCAUCACUGGUGUUCGGGUUGUCAUGCCAAUGGCACUGCCCGGUAGCUAAAUGCGGAAGAGAUAAGUGCUGAAAGCAUCUAAGCACGAAACUUGCCCCGAGAUGAGUUCUCCCUGAGACUUA
rnacentral:rRNA from 1 species